CCUACGGGAGGCUGCAGUGGGGAAGCUUCGGCAAUGGGCGAAAGCCUGACCGAGCGACGCCGCGUGAGCGAAUGAAGGCCCUAUGGGUUGUAAAGCUCUGUCAGAUUGGGAAGAAAACUCCGGGGUCAAUACCCCCGGAGCUUGACGGUACCAUCAGAGGAAGCACCGGCUAACUCCGUGCCAGCAGCCGCGGUAAUACGGAGGGUGCAAGCGUUGUUCGGAUUCACUGGGUAUAAAGGGUGCGCAGGCGGCUCGGUAAGUCAGGGGUGAAAUAUGACGGCUCAACCGUCAAACUGCCUCUGAAACUGCCUUGCUUGAGUCCGGGAGAGGAAGGUGGAAUUCCUGGUGUAGCGGUGAAAUGCGUAAAUAUCAGGAGGAACACCGGUGGCGAAGGCGGCCUUCUGGCCCGGUACUGACGCUCAUGCACGAAAGCCAGGGGAGCGAACGGGAUUAGAUACCCGAGUAGUC
rnacentral:rRNA from 1 species